GACGAACGCUGGCGGCGUGCUUAACACAUGCAAGUCGAGCGGGGAUAGCUGAUGGAAGGUUUCGGCUGGAAGUUAGUUAUUCUAGCGGCGGACGGGUGAGUAACGCGUGAGCAAUCUGUCCCAGACAGGGGGAUAACACUUGGAAACAGGUGCUAAUACCGCAUAAGACCACAGCAUCGCAUGGUGCAGGGGUAAAAGGAGAAAUCCGGUUUGGGGUGGCUCGCGUCCGAUUAGCUAGUUGGUGAGGUAACGGCCCACCAAGGCGACGAUCGGUAGCCGACCUGAGAGGGUGAUCGGCCACAUUGGAACUGAGACACGGUCCAA
rnacentral:rRNA from 1 species